rnacentral:rRNA from 1 species
ACAUGUGGGGCAAGCGUUGUUCGGAAUCACUGGGCAUAAAGGGUGCGUAGGCGGCAUGACACGUCCUGGGUGAAAUCCUGCGGCCCAACCGCGGGUCUGCCUGGGAUACGGUCAAGCUGGAGUGCGUGAGGGGUGACUGGAACGCGUGGUGUAGCGGUGAAAUGCGUAGAUAUCACGCGGAAGGCCAACGGGGAAGGCAAGUCACUGGCACGCAACUGACGCGGAGUGCACGAAAGCGUGGGGAGCAAACAG